GAAGAAAGGAAAAUGGAAGUGGAAGAAGAGGAGGAGCCAAACCACAAUAUUUAGGGCACUGUCCCCAAGAAACCGUCCAGUGCGUUCGCCUCAAUUCCCGGCCUCCCCUUCGCAGCUCCUCCACCCGCCUGAUUUGACGUCACAUAAAAUGACAAAUGUCCGCAGAAAACGACACGCCGAUUUAUUUGAAGUGAAGGACAGAGAUUAAAACGGCCUUGAAAAAAACCAUACCUGUUUUGUCCACCGCCAUCACCACCUUCUCCCAGAUCAAGGACAAACUGUAUUACAGACUCACACAUAAGGAAGAGGUGCGUGUGAGUGUGUUUGGGUGUGUUUGGAUGCGUUUGGGUGUGUUUUGGGUCUGUUUGGGUGUGUUUUGAGGUGUUUAGAGUGUGUUUGGUAUGUUUUGGGGUUCUUGGGUGCA